rnacentral:rRNA from 1 species
CACGUAGGGUGCGAGCGUUGUCCGGAAUUAUUGGGCGUAAAGAGCUCGUAGGCGGUGUGUCGCGUCGGCCGUGAAAACCUGCAGCUUAACUGUGGGCUUGCGGUCGAUACGGGCAUCACUGGAGUUCGGCAGGGGGAGACUGGAAUUCCUGGUGUAGCGGUGAAAUGCGCAGAUAUCAGGAGGAACACCCAGCGGCGAAGGCGGCGCUCUGGGGCCGGAA